UAGGGAAUAUUGCACAAUGGGCGAAAGCCUGAUGCAGCAACGCCGCGUGCGCGAUGACGGCCUUCGGGUUGUAAAGCGCUUUUCGGGGAGAUGAGGAAGGACAGUAUCCCCGGAAUAAGGCUCGGCUAACUACGUGCCAGCAGCCGCGGUAACACGUAGGAGCCAAGCGUUAUCCGAAUUCACUGGGCGUAAAGCGCGUGUAGGCGGCUUGGUAAGUUGGAUGUGAAAGCUCCUGGCUCAACUGGGAGAGGACGUUCAAUACUGCCGGGCUAGAGGGCGACAGAGGGAGGUGGAAUUCCCGGUGUAGUGGUGAAAUGCGUAGAUAUCGGGAGGAACACCAGUGGCGAGGGCGGUUUCCUGGUCUGAUACUGACGCUGAGGCGCGAAAGCGUGGGGAGCAAACAG
rnacentral:rRNA from 1 species